GGCCCGUUCGUCUAGUGGCUAGGACACAUGGUUCUCAUCCAUGUAACAGGAGUUCAAUUCUCCUACGGGCUA
rnacentral:tRNA from 1 species